AGCUCCAAUAGCGUAUAUUUUUGUUGUUGCAGUUAAAAAGCUCGUAGUUGAAUUUCUGGUGGGAGGAUGUGGUGCAACGUAGUUGCUACUGGCAGCCUCCGGCCAUCCUUGGGUUUAGCCAUUCUGGCAUUAAGUUGUCGGGGUGGGGAUGCCCAUCGUUUACUGUGAAAAAAUUAGAGUGUUCAAAGCAACUUAUGUCGUUGAAUAUAUUAGCAUGGAAUAAUAAGAUAGGACUACAGUGCUAUUUUGUUGGUUUGCGCACCGUGGUAAUGAUGAAUAGGGACAGUUGUGAGUAUUCGUAUUCACUUGUAAGAGGUGAAAUUCUUAGAUUAAGGGAAGACGAACAAAAGCGAAAGCAUUUACCAAGGAUGUUUUCA
rnacentral:rRNA from 1 species